GGGACCGUUGACUCUGGAGAAGAGCUUUCCCUUCGGGGACAAAGUGACAGGUGGUGCAUGGUUGUCGUCAGCUCGUGUCGUGAGAUGUUGGGUUAAGUCCCGCAACGAGCGCAACCCUUGAUCUUAGUUGCCAGCAUUUAGUUGGGCACUCUAAGGUGACUGCCGGUGACAAACCGGAGGAAGGUGGGGAUGACGUCAAAUCAUCAUGCCCCUUAUGACCUGGGCUACACACGUGCUACAAUGGACGGAACAAAGGGAAGCAAGCCCGCGAGGUCAAGCAAAUCCCAUAAAACCGUUCUCAGUUCGGAUUGUAGGCUGCAACUCGCCUACAUGAAGCCGGAAUCGCUAGUAAUCGCGGAUCAGCAUGCCGCGGUGAAUACGUUCCCGGGUCUUGUACACACCGCCCGUCACACCACGAGAGUUCGUAACACCCGAAGUCGGUGAGGUAACCUUUUGGAGCCAGCCGCCGAAGGUGGGACGAAUGAUUGGGGUGAAGUCGUAACAGGGGUAGCCGUAAAAGCU
rnacentral:rRNA from 1 species